rnacentral:rRNA from 1 species
CUACGGGCUGCAGCCGCGAAAACUCUACAAUGUACGCAAGUACGAUAGGGGAAUCCCGAGUGCUCAUGUUCUGCAUGGGCUUUUGCUAAGUGUAAAAACCUUGGCGAAUAAGUGGUGGGUAAGACUGGUGCCAGCCGCCGCGGUAACCCCAGCGCCACAAGUGGCAAUCAGUAUUAUUGGGCCUAAAGCGUUCGUAGCCGGUUUAGUAAGUUCUGAGUGAAAUUGUUCUGCUUAACAGAACGGCAUGCUUGGAAUACGGCUAGACUUGAGACCGGAGAAGAGUUAGGAGUAUGUCGGGGGGAGCGGUAAAAUGCUAUAAUCCCCGAUGGACUACCUGUGGCGAAGGCGCCUAACUAGAACGGGUCUGACGGUGAGGGACGAAAGCUAGGGGAGCAAACGGGAUUAGAUACCCCUGUAGUC